rnacentral:lncRNA from 1 species
GAGAGAACUGCUAAGGUCCACAACGUCGACAAUUGAAAGCUUUGCUGCACAAGAAAAACAAAUGGAAGUUUGUGAAGUAUGUGGAGCCUUUUUAAUAGUAGGAGAUGCCCAGUCCCGGGUAGAUGACCAUUUGAUGGGAAAACAACACAUGGGCUAUGCCAAAAUUAAAGCUACUGUAGAAGAAUUAAAAGAAAAGUUAAGGAAAAGAACCGAAGAACCUGAUCGUGAUGAGCGUCUAAAAAAGGAGAAGCAAGAAAGAGAAGAAAGAGAAAAAGAACGGGAGAGAGAAAGGGAAGAAAGAGAAAGGAAAAGACGAAGGGAAGAGGAAGAAAGAGAAAAAGAAAGGGCUCGUGACAGAGAAAGAAGAAAGAGAAGUCGUUCACGAAGUAGACACUCAAGCCGAACAUCAGACAGAAGAUGCAGCAGGUCUCGGGACCACAAAAGGUCACGAAGUAGAGAAAGAAGGCGGAGCAGAAGUAGAGAUCGACGAAGAAGCAGAAGCCAUGAUCGAUCAGAAAGAAAACACAGAUCUCGAAGUCGGGAUCGAAGAAGAUCAAAAAGCCGGGAUCGAAAGUCAUAUAAGCACAGGAGCAAAAGUCGGGACAGAGAACAAGAUAGAAAAUCCAAGGAGAAAGAAAAGAGGGGAUCUGAUGAUAAAAAAAGUAGUGUGAAGUCCGGUAGUCGAGAAAAGCAGAGUGAAGACACAAACACUGAAUCGAAGGAAAGUGAUACUAAGAAUGAGGUCAAUGGGACCAGUGAAGACAUUAAAUCUGAAGGUGACACUCAGUCCAAUUAAAACUGAUCUGAUAAGACCUCAGAUCAGACAGAGGACUACUGUUCGAAGAUUUUUGGAAGAAUACUGAGAACGGCAUAAAGUGAAGAUCGACAUUUAAAAAAUGAGGUGAAAGAAAGCUAUAGUGGCAUAGAAAAAGUAUAAAGCUCAGUUAGUUUUUUUAUUAUUAUUAUUAUUAAAAGUUAAUUCAGGACUGAUGUGACCUACCAGAUUUCAGAACAUGUGUUAAUAGUAUAUAUGCCACUGAAAACUUAGGUCCUGUAUCAUACUUUUUUCUUUAAGACUUUUUAAGAAAUAUUACUUAAACAUGUGGCUUGCUCAGUGUUUAAUUGCAAGUUUUCAAUCUUGGACUUUGAAAACAGGAUUAAACGUUAGUAUUCGUGUG